CCUGUCCAAUGUCAAAGUGUAUUCCACUGGUGUGAUUCUGAUAGGAGCUAAAGCCAUUAAGAUUAUUACUACGUCAAACAUAGCAAACAGUUUUGCUAUGAAAUGGCCACAACACUUUGACAAAUUACAAAACUGUAGGGUUCAAACAGGUUCUGCCGUAAACCAGCCAACAACAAUUACAACUGAAGAUAAUCCAGAUAGGCAAAAUAUAUCACCAGCAUCAAGCUCAAGUCCAGACAUUUCUGUACCACCUGAGAGUACACCACUAAACAAUGCAGAAGAGCAACAUUUUGACAGGAUGCAAAGUAAUCCUCGUUGAAGUUACUCCUUCUGAAAACCAGCCGGCAGCAAUUUUUUCUUAUAGAUACUGCAGCUGUUAAAGUCUAACACCAACAAGCUUGACUUCAACUGUAACAGUAUAGCUGUAUUUGUAGGCAAUUGUGU